UGUGUCUAUUUGUUAAUGAGGGACUUAUAUGCUAGUAUUUUGCAUGUGUCCAACAGGAGAAGAGAAGUCUGGCAUGAGGAAGUGACUCACUAUAAUGCUGAAGUAGACAUAGUAGACAUACAACCAAAUGCUUAAUGUAUGUCCACCACCAAGUUAUGCUGGGGAGGGAAUACAGUAUGGAUUUUUUUUUGUCAUUACAUCCUGCCUUCAUUCACAGCGCUGGGAUUAUCCACACAUAUGAAGUCAAGCCUGUACAGUCAGAGUCCCACAAUCAAGUUAUCUGAGGGCUGUCAGAGUCUCACAGUAAAAAAAUUAUGCAGUUUUUCGAGCAUGCCGAACUCCAAUACAAGGUCUGCAGUCAGGUGUGUUUGUCCAUCAGUGUUCUUCUGUCUGUCUGCUGUCUGGAAGAUGAUGACUUCUGUUUGUUCCUCUGACGAAAUGGAUCUUCAGUCUCUGGAUGUUCCUCUCUCUGUAGAGGAGACCCGACCAGAACCGGCCCAGAGUUCAGUGCGGCCAUGUUCAUUCACAGAGGAUGAGUGUGAGCGAUGAUGAUGAAGAGCAGCGGGUUUAAGAGUCCAGACACAGAGGAAUGAACUAAUCCAUAUUUUUAUUUACUUUGUAUUAAAUAGUUUCUGUUAUCACUUGAUGAUUACAAAAAGCAUGUUUUAUUGUUUUUCAAUGCCUUUUGAAAUUUCACUAUUCAGAUCUGGGUUUUGAUUUGAUUUCAUUAAUUAAAUAAUUACAUUAAAUUAGUAGGCCAAAAUAAAAUGUAAAAUUAAAAAGAAUAAUUUUAUAAUAAAACCAUUGAUAAAGGCAUUAUAAAGGCAAAUAAAGCAUUUUAUUUGUUUUCCUGCAUGUCAUGUGACCAGCAGAGAACAGAGAACAUGCAAAUGAGUUGUUAAUUAUUGAAAAAUAAACUUAAAAUCUCAGGGGGACUUAAAGUAAAUAUUUUAACUCAAAGGGGUUCAGUUUAUUUUACAUCAAAGAAGAAUUAAUGCAGAAGGAUUGCAUUAGGGUGCAUGGUUCAUCUUAUCCUAGGGUCUAAUUUUAACUAAUUUUAGCAUACAAUUAUGUGUUUAUUUUUUAAAUAAAUAUAUCAGAAUAUAUGAUUUGAAAUUAGUAUUAUGUUAGAGCAGUAAUGUACACAUCAGCUUAAUUCAGAAGAUGCAGACAGCUGAGUUUAUGUAUUUGGUUGUGUUGUGAUUACUUGCAGCAUGUGUUGUCAAACUGAUGAUGAUGUCUUCUUAAAGGAUUAGUUCACUUCAGAAUUAAAAAUUUCCUGAUAAUUUACUUACCCCCCAUGCCAUCCAAGAUGUUAAUGUCUUUCUUUCUUCAGUUUAAAAGAAAUGAAGGUUUUUGAGGAAAACAUUCCAGGAUUUUUCUCCAUAUAGUGGACCUCACUGGGGUUGAAGGUCCAAAUGUCAGUUUCAGUGCAGCUUCAAAGGACUCUACAUGAUCCCAGACGAGGAAUAAGAGUCUUAUCUAGAGAAACCAUCCGUC